CCUACCAGGUUUGGUUUCUUCCUUGUCCGAUUUCAUGCUGGAGAAGGAGGAGAGAGAAAGGCAGCUCCAAAGGUCUGGCCGAGGCUGCUUUCUACCCUUUCUUCCUUCUCUUCUUCUCUUUCUGUUUGUUCUCUCUCUCUCUCUCCUUCUCUUCUCCUGGCAGCUCCUCCUCUCCUUCCAAACAGGAAGUGCCGUGUGCCAUCCGUACUACCUGAACCACCUGGAACCUGACCUUGUUGCAGGUGCCGGAGAUCUCCGGUGCACACUCACGGCCGGGAAAGAGGCGUUCCUCCUUGGAAAGCUGGCUUACCUGCUCUGCCAAGCCGCCAACCAAAAUGUUUCAAGGUGGCCCGGCUGGAUUCCUGCACCAGAUUCUUCCUCCAAGGUGCUCAGCAAAGGAAGCUGCAAGGCCCUGAAAUCUAAGGAAACGCUGGUCUUGCGGGUUUAGGAGGAACAGAGAAUAAUAAUAAAAGAAACCGAAGAAACCAUCGACGUGAGUAAUGCAGAGAAAAUUGUUUUGCCUCCACCGUCGUGUCAAGGCAGAAUAGCGCAUUUGAUUAUUUUGUGCUGGCCGUGUGCCGUAAUAAAUGAUUGUAUUGGUUG